UAGACGUCACGAAGUCACGGUACUGCCCACGAAUUCCCGUUCGGCUUCUUCCUUACUCUCUGCCCCAAUCCCUAUCCGUUCCGCUCCUCGAUCGCCUCCGCUUCCCUCCAACUCGCCCGCCGCCUUUCUACCGGCACGGCACAAAGGCACCUAACAAAUACAGCCACCGCGCAUCAGUUCCUCGAAGGCCCCCGUACCCAUAAAGGCGCCGCUCGCACCGGUCGCCCUGGCGCCUGCCGCGGCCCUCCUCCGUUUUAAUCACCGUCCGCCCCGGCCUCGCCCAGUCACAAAUCAUUCCGCCAUCGCGGUUUCGCUCCCCUCCCAUCCUUCCACCACUCGCUCUGCUCUGCUGAACACGUUUGCUGCUCUUCCCCUUUCUCUUCGUUGUCAUCCAAUUUCGAACCGCGGGGCCUUGUCGAUUCUGGUAACCGACUCUGUGCCAGCCUAAUCGGUGCGCGGUCGGAGCUACUGCCCGCGAACGAGGGGGGAUUGGAUACCGGUCGAUUUCUCGUGGUGCGGGUUGCUGGGCGGUUGACGAUGUCAUGUGGCCCCUUUGCGUCCUCUCCGAGAAGCUGUUCAAGGUGGCGGGCGACGACGGCGGCCAGGGGCCGGACUCGCCGUCCGCCGACGGGCAGAUUCCUCUACCACGCCGAUCUUACUACGUCGACGUUCCGCAUGUGCAGCAAGCAUUUACCUGGGACUGCGGCCUCGCCUGCGUGCUCAUGGUGCUCAGGACGCUGGGGAUUGAUUGCUGCGUCGACAUUGCCGAUCUCGAGAAGUUCUGCAACACCACAAGGUUCUAUCCAUGGCUGGAAUUUCAACAUUUGGACAGUCGAUUUGGCAUAUCUGUUAAACAAGUUUUCAGUUAGUUUUUCGUUCUUUACUGUGACUCUUGGAGCAAAUCCACAAUAUUCUGCCGAAACCUUUUAUAGGGAACAAUUGCAAGAAGACAUUGAUCGUGUGGAUGAGCUAUUUGGAAAAGCACUCGAUGCUGGAAUUAGUAUUCAAUGCAGAUCCAUUAGUGCAUAUGAUAUUGCUUUUCUACUGUUAUCUGGGCACUGCAUUGCUAUCGCAUUAGUGGACAAAACUAAGCUAAAUUCGUCUUGGAUGAAUGAUGUACAUGAUGUGCAACAGCUCAACAAGGAGUCCGAUUACAUGGGGCAUUAUGUCGUAAUAUGUGGGUAUGAUGCCGAUGCUUGUGAAUUUGAGAUAAGGGAUCCUGCCAGUUCAAGGAAACAUGAAAGGGUGGCAAUGAAGAGCUUAGAUGAGGCCCGAAAAUCCUUUGGAACCGAUGAGGAUAUCCUUUUGGUAGGAGGUGUACUAUGAUCUGUUCUUCACAUUUCUGUCAUGCUCCAUGCUUGAGUCUUCCUCCAUUAAAGUGUGCUAGUACUGUUCAUGCUUGCAUCUUUCAUCAGUCUGCUGGAAGAGUGGGAAAAUGUCUCCUUAACCGGAAAGAGUGGUAUGAAGCUCUCUCGUAAACUCCUGGCCGGCUCCAUGUAAAUUGGUCACCAGCCUCCAGGGUCCAGGCCUCCAGCCACCUUGUGUAUAUGCUGUACAUGUCCCUGUAGUUAUGUUUACCGAUUGUCGACCGUGUACGUAGUGUGAGAACAUUCUUACAGCCGAUAGGAACAGUGUGCCAGUGAAGUUAGCAUCCGCUAUAUGGCAUCACCAAACUGUAGCAACCAAGGGUGUGGCGGCGGCGGCCGAAACCGGCAAAAGCUAUACGACCAUAGCUGAUAAGCUGAACAUGUACAAAUAUCCUUGAAUAAAUUGUGAUCUUUUGCAAAUUA